GACGAACCGUGCGAACGUUGUUCGGAAUCACUGGGCUUAAAGGGCGCGUAGGCGGGUCUUCAAGUUUGGGGUGAAAUCCUCCGGCUCAACCGGAGAACUGCCUCGAAUACUGAAGGUCUCGAGGGGGAUAGGGGCAUGCGGAACUACGGGUGGAGCGGUGAAAUGUGUUGAUAUCGGUGGGAACGCCAGUGGCGAAAGCGGCAGACUGGACCCUUCCUGACGCUGAGUGCGCGAAAGCUAGGGGAGCAAACGGG
rnacentral:rRNA from 1 species